rnacentral:lncRNA from 1 species
GAUCACCUUGUUUUACUAUAUGAUUUUUUGUCAAACAUAGCCAAGAUUGGGAGCAGCUUCUGAUCUUUAUAGACUCUGAGGUGAAUGGUUGAUUGAAUCUAAAAUUAAUGGGGAACAACAAUGUGUACUGGUAAAUUCUAUUGAACCAAAAAAAGUUGGAUUAUUGUUGAAUUCGAUAGAAACAUUUGAACUAGCACAACUCUUUGUCUUAAUUAAGGUCUAAUUAGAGCACUUCUGAUUGGAGAAAUGUUAUCCUCCUGCAACAAUUCCAACGCUUUGAGUACUGAUUGGAAAACUUUAAAUCUGCUUUUUUUGAUCUUCGAUUGACUUCAUGAUUCACGUGUCAAAGCUUUUAGAAUAUCGGACAGCCAUUUGUUGUUUGCUUUUGGGUUUCCGAUACACAAUCGGGGCAAAUGCAUUGCACAGAUAUGUGGGAGGUAAAACCACAGAAUUAGAACGUAACACCCAUUUUACUAGGCGGAUACAUGAGUCAAAAAAAGUUGAAGAAAUAUGUUACAACAACUAACCCAUCUUGCUGAGCGUCAUCUGGUGAACGAACAAUCCAUUGCACAAAACAUUAGCUUCUUUCAUAUAUAUAAAAACACACGAGCCAAAAGGAAAAAAAACAAUAGAUUAAUGUACGUCAUUCUUACAGUGAGUAAGUUAUUCUUCAUCUUCUUCUCAUUAUUUCCUGUCGUCUACGUAGGAGUGACAUUAUGAAGGAGAUGAUCAACCAUGCCUAGUUCCAUCACUAUACUCCAGUGGGAUUGAAUUCUCACACUCAAACAUGAACAGUAGUUGCAACAGAAACCCUAAUUCAGAGGCAGUUGGGGGGUGGGCACUGAUGGGUUUCGCCUGACAAACAGGUGGGCUUGGACCAGGGCCAGAGGUGGGGAACGUUG